rnacentral:rRNA from 1 species
CCUACGGGUGGCAGCAGUGAGGAAUAUUGGUCAAUGGACGAGAGCCUGAACCAGCCAAGUAGCGUGAAGGAUGACUGCCCUACGGGUUGUAAACUUCUUUUAUAUGGGAAUAAAAUGUUCCACGUGUGGGAUUUUGUAUGUACUAUAUGAAUAAGGAUCGGCUAACUCCGUGCCAGCAGCCGCGGUAAUACGGAGGAUCCGAGCGUUAUCCGGAUUUAUUGGGUUUAAAGGGAGCGUAGGUGGAUUGUUAAGUCAGUUGUGAAAGUUUGCGGCUCAACCGUAAAAUUGCAGUUGAUACUGGCAGUCUUGAGUACAGUAGAGGUGGGCGGAAUUCGUGGUGUAGCGGUGAAAUGCUUAGAUAUCACGAAGAACUCCGAUUGCGAAGGCAGCUCACUGGACUGCAACUGACACUGAGGCUCGAAAGUGUGGGUAUCAAACAGGAUUAGAUACCCUUGUAGUC